CACGUAUUUAGCCGUCGCUUCUUCUGCAGGUACCGUCAUUCUCUUCUUCCCUGCUGAAAGCACUUUACAAUCCGAAAACCUUCUUCGUGCACACAGAAUUGCUGGAUCAGGGUUGCCCCCAUUGUCCAAUAUUCCCCACUGCUGCCUCCCGUAGGAGUAAGGGCCGUAUCUCAGUCCCCUUGUGGCCGUUCACCCUCUCAGGCCGGCUACCUAUCAUCGCCUUGGUGGGCCGUUACCCCGCCAACCAGCUAAUAGGACGCAAAGCUCUCCCGCAGCAUCUCUUUUCAUUGCCGGGCACAUGCGUACCGGCAAUUAUAUCAGGUUUUAUCAGUCGUUUCCGUCUGUUAUCCCUGUCUGCGGGGCAAGUUCUUUACGCGUUACUCACCCGUCCGCCUUGGCUUGGCUGUGCAAGCACAGCUUUGCCAAAGACUUGCAUGUGUUAAGCAUUCUGUCAGCGUUCAUCCUGAGCCAGGAUCAAACUCU
rnacentral:rRNA from 1 species